GAGAACUGCAAAAACAGAAUGAACUCGAAAUUCCAAGGAGUUAGAACCAAAAUGCGUGACAAUUGAUAAAGAGGUUAAAGAGUUUGGCUUAGGGUUCUAUUCUUAAGGGAGAGGAGUUUGCGGCGAGUGGGGGCUAAGUGGGAAGUGGGAUGGGUUAGCCUUAUAUAUGCAAACCCUAACCGCUUCCUCUUCUUUUUUUUCUUUUUUCUUUUUAGGGUACGAAGACUUACCUGAGGGAACAGCUGUUCUCCAGCGAGAACAGUCUACGGAUUGUCCCUCCGGGAAACUUCAGUUUUCAUUUUCC
rnacentral:lncRNA from 1 species